AACGAACGCUGGCGGCAUGCCUAACACAUGCAAGUCGAACGAUGCUUUCGGGCAUAGUGGCGCACGGGUGCGUAACGCGUGGGAAUCUGCCAUUGGGUUCGGAAUAACAGUGAGAAAUUGCUGCUAAUACCGGAUGAUGUCUUCGGACCAAAGAUUUAUCGCCCAGGGAUGAGCCCGCGUAGGAUUAGCUAGUUGGUGGGGUAAUGGCCUACCAAGGCGACGAUCCUUAGCUGGUCUGAGAGGAUGAUCAGCCACACUGGGACUGAGACACGGCCCAGACUCCUACGGGAGGCAGCAGUGGGGAAUAUUGGACAAUGGGCGCAAGCCUGAUCCAGCAAUGCCGCGUGAGUGAUGAAGGCCUUAGGGUUGUAAAGCUCUUUUACCCGGGAUGAUAAUGACAGUACCGGGAGAAUAAGCUCCGGCUAACUCCGU
rnacentral:rRNA from 1 species